UACGUAGGGUGCGAGCGUUAAUCGGAAUUACUGGGCGUAAAGCGUGCGCAGGCGGUUUUGUAAGCCAGAUGUGAAAUCCCCGGGCUUAACCUGGGAAUGGCAUUUGGGACUGCAAGGCUUGAGUGCGGCAGAGGAGACUGGAAUUCCUGGUGUAGCAGUGAAAUGCGUAGAUAUCAGGAGGAACACCGAUGGCGAAGGCAGGUCUCUGGGCUGACACUGACGCUCAUGCACGAAAGCGUGGGGAGCGAAACAACGG
rnacentral:rRNA from 1 species